CCCACUGAGGCUAGAAACCCCCCAAACACUCAAGGUACCUUGAGAACAUGUAUCCCAAGACCUGCAAAGACCAAACACAUGGCCUGUAACUACUUUUCACUUUCAAGCCCUGGAACUUGUCUGUACCAAAAAUCUUUCUGAACCAUUCACCAAAUCUCUUGUCAAGGGCCAGAAUAAAUUAAGAGAUUGGCUUUUGGUUUUCAAUUAGGCUUUCAAGUCCUAAGCCCAACCCCUCCUAUCCCACCUAGGCAGAAAUCACUUCAGAUCCUUGCUUCCUAGUUUAAUUUCUUCUCUGCCUCAGUUAUAACAUCCAUAAAAUGGAAAUAAUAAUACCCACCUCACACAGGGGUUAGGAGUGUUUUUUUGUUGGUUUUUUUCCAGACAGGGUCUCACUCUGUCUCCCAGGCUGGAGUGCAG
rnacentral:lncRNA from 10 species